GCCAGACUCCUACGGGAGGCAGCAGUGGGGGAUAUUGCACAAUGGGGGAAACCCUGAUGCAGCGACGCCGCGUGAGUGAAGAAGUAUUUCGGUAUGUAAAGCUCUAUCAGCAGGGAAGAAAUAAGACGGUACCUGACUAAGAAGCCCCGGCUAACUACGUGCCAGCAGCCGCGGUAAUACGUAGGGGGCAAGCGUUAUCCGGAUUUACUGGGUGUAAAGGGAGCGUAGACGGCAAUACAAGUCGGAAGUGAAAUACCCGGGCUCAACCUGGGAACUGCUUUGGAAACUGUAUGGCUGGAGUGCUGGAGAGGUAAGCGGAAUUCCUAGUGUAGCGGUGAAAUGCGUAGAUAUCAGGAGGAACACCGGCGGCGAAGGCGGCCUGCUGGACCGCGACUGACGUUGAGGCUCGAAAGCGUGGGGAGCGAACAGGAUUAGAUACCCGGGUAC
rnacentral:rRNA from 1 species